UACAGGGGGUGCAAACGUUGCUCGGAAUUAUUGGGCGUAAAGCGCGCGUAGGCGGCUACUUAAGUCGGGUGUGAAAGCCCUCGGCUCAACCGAGGAAGUGCGCCCGAAACUGCAGAGCUUGAGUACCGGAGAGGAUGGCGGAAUUCCCCAAGUAGAGGUGAAAUUCGUAGAUAUGGGGAGGAACACCGGUGGCGAAGGCGGCCAUCUGGACGGAUACUGACGCUGAGACGCGAAAGCGUGGGUAGCAAACAGG
rnacentral:rRNA from 1 species